rnacentral:rRNA from 1 species
GACGUAGGUGGCAAGCGUUGUCCGGAUUUACUGGGCUUAAAGAGCGCGCAGGCGGUCGUUCAAGUCGGGUGUGAAAGCCCCCGGCUCAACUGGGGAGGGUCACGCGAUACUGAUCGACUCGAAGGCAGGAGAGGGUAGUGGAAUUCCCGGUGUAGUGGUGAAAUGCGUAGAUAUCGGGAGGAACACCAGUGGCGAAGGCGACUACCUGGCCUGUUCUUGACGCUGAGGCGCGAAAGCGUGGGGAGCAAACGGG